rnacentral:rRNA from 1 species
GAUGAACGCUGGCGGCGUGCCUAAUACAUGCAAGUCGAGCGAACGGACGAGAAGCUUGCUUCUCUGAUGUUAGCGGCGGACGGGUGAGUCACACGUGGAUAACCUACCUAUAAGACUGGGAUAACUUCGGGACACCGGAGCUAAUACCGGAUAAUAUUUUGAACCGCAUGGUUCAAAAGAGAAAGACGGUCUUGCUGUCACUUAUAGAUGGUUCCGCGCUGCAUUAGCUAGUUGGUAAGGUAACGGCUUACCAAGGCAACGAUGCAUAGCCGACCUGAGAGGGGGAUCGGCCACACUGGAACUGAGACACGGUCCAGAGUCCUACGGGAGGCAGCAGUAGGGAAUCUUAGGCAAUGGGCGAAAGCCUGACGGAGCAACGCCGCGUGAGUGAUGAAGGUCUUCGGAGCGUAAAGCUCUGUUAUGAGUGAAGAACAUAUGUGUAAGGAACUGUGGACAUCUUGACGGUACCUAAUCAGAAAGCCACGGCUAACUACGUG